UGCUGCUGUUAAAAAGCUCGUAGUUGGAUCAAGAGUACAACAGUGCAAGGUGGCCUCGUUUGUGUCCGUGGCUCCGGUCGCUGGCACGGCGGCGGAUCAACCCCUUGCAUUAAACUGUUGUCUCUAACAGGCCGAAGCGGUUCCCUGUGAGUAGGCCACUUCAUUGGGGCUGAAAGCGAUUACGCAUCCACCACAUGCAUACGGGACGUCGGCCAAUGUUACUGUGAACAAACCAGCGUGUCCAAAGCAGGCUCUUGCCUGAAUGUUCGAGCAUGGAAUAACAAGGGAUCGAUUCUCUCGGUUCUUUUUGUUGGUUUUUAACCCGAGAAGGAGUAAUUCAGGCCACGGUGUCUGGGCUGGGUUCCCCUAGGUUUCGGCUUAGGCCCCAGUUAGGCCGUGUUCUUACGGGAUAAAUAGGGACUGACGGGGUCGUACGUACUUCCACGUCAGAGGUGAAAUUCUUAGAUCGUGGGAAGACGAACUUCUGCGAAGCU
rnacentral:rRNA from 1 species